GACGAACGCUGGCGGCGUGCUUAACACAUGCAAGUCGAACGAUGAAGCUGGAGCUUGCUCCGGUGGAUUAGUGGCGAACGGGUGAGUAACACGUGAGCAAUCUGCCCUUGACUCUGGGAUAACUGCGGGAAACUGUAGCUAAUACCGGAUACGAGGCUCGAAGGCAUCUUCGGGUCUGGAAAGAAUUUCGGUCAAGGAUGAGCUCGCGGGCUAUCAGCUUGUUGGUGAGGUAAUGGCUCACCAAGGCGACGACGGGUAGCCGGCCUGAGAGGGUGACCGGCCACACUGGGACUGAGACACGGCCCAGACUCCUACGGGAGGCAGCAGUGGAGAAUAUUGCACAAUGGGCGAAAGCAUGAUGCAGCAACGCCGCGUGAGGGAUGAAGGCCUUCGGGUUGUAAACCUCUUUUAGCAGGGAAGAAGCGAAAGUGACGGUACCUGCAGAAAAAGCACCGGCUAACUACGUGCCAGCCGCCGCCGUAA
rnacentral:rRNA from 1 species